ensembl:snRNA U2 U2 spliceosomal RNA
AUCGCUUCUCAGCCUUUUGGCUAAGAUCAAGUGUAGUAUCUAAAUAAGUAUUCAUUUUCACAAUUGAUUGUGUGUUAAUGAUAUCUAUGCUUUUUCAGAGACCUUCU